rnacentral:rRNA from 1 species
UAUACCUGUUGCUUCGGCGGCGCCCGCAAGGGUGCCCGCCGGUCUCAUCAGAAUCUCUGUUUUCGAACCCGACGAUACUUCUGAGUGUUCUUAGCGAACUGUCAAAACUUUUAACAACGGAUCUCUUGGCUCCAGCAUCGAUGAAGAACGCAGCGAAACGCGAUAUGUAAUGUGAAUUGCAGAAUUCAGUGAAUCAUCGAAUCUUUGAACGCACAUGGCGCCUUCCAGUAUCCUGGGAGGCAUGCCUGUCCGAGCGUCGUUUCAACCCUCGAGCCCCUGUGGCCCGGCGUUGGGGAUCUGCCACGGCAGGCCCCUAAAACCAGUGGCGGACCCGAAGGCCCUCUCCUUUGCGCAGUAGCAUCAGCCUCGCAUUGGGAUCCCUCGGCGUCCUGCCUCUAAACCCCCCACAAGUCCGCUCCGGCGGCACCAAGGUUGACCUCGGAUCAGGUAGGAAUACCCGCUGAACUUAAGCA